rnacentral:miRNA from 1 species
AGAAAUUAUCCUUGGUGUGUUC